UACGUAGGGUGCAAGCGUUAAUCGGAAUUACUGGGCGUAAAGCGUGCGCAGGCGGUUUUGUAAGUCUGACGUGAAAUCCCCGGGCUCAACCUGGGAAUUGCGUUGGAGACUGCAAGGCUAGAGUUUGGCAGAGGGGGUAGAAUUCCACGUGUAGCAGUGAAAUGCGUAGAUAUGUGGAGGAACACCGAUGGCGAAGGCAGCCCCCUGGGUCAAGACUGACGCUCAUGCACGAAAGCGUGGGGAGCAAACAGG
rnacentral:rRNA from 1 species